rnacentral:lncRNA from 10 species
CAACAUCAACUUUAAAAACAUAGACAUAAACUUCAGUUUUGUUCAGACUAAAUAUACUUCAUACCAAAAUUACCAAGCUCCCUUAUGACUUCUUUCUUUUUUAAUUUGAAAGUAAUACAUGCCCAUGGUAACAAAGUCAACCUGUACAACAGGAGUAUAUAGUAAAAAGGCUCCCUCCUAUUGCUGACCCUCAGGCUCCCAGUUCCUCUUUACGUAUGUAGCCACUAUUACCAGUUUCUUGUGUA